GAUGAAGAACGUAGCGAAAUGCGAUAAGUAAUGUGAAUUGCAGAAUUCAGUGAAUCAUCGAAUCUUUGAACGCACAUUGCGCCCGCCAGUAUUCUGGCGGGCAUGCCUGUUCGAGCGUCAUUUCAACCAUCAAGCCCCCGGGCUUGUGUUGGGGACCUGCGGCUGCCGCAGGCCCUGAAAAGCAGUGGCGGGCUCGCUGUCACACCGAGCGUAGUAGAUUUUAUCUCGCUCUGGGCGUGCUGCGGGUUCCGGCCGUUAAACCACCCUUUUAACCCAAGGUUGACCUCGGAUCAGGUAGGAAGACCCACUGAACUUAAGCAUAUCAAUAAGCGGAGGA
rnacentral:misc_RNA from 1 species